GCGCAGCAGUCGCGAAAACUCCGCAAUGCGCGAAAGCGUGACGGGGUUACCCCGAGUGCCGUCCGCUAAGGAUGGCUUUUCCCCAAUGUAGCGAGUUGGGGGAAUAAGAGGAGGGCAAGACUGGUGUCAGCCGCCGCGGUAAUACCAGCUCCUCGAGUGGUGGGGACGAUUAUUGGGCCUAAAGCGUCCGUAGCCGGCUUGGCAAGUCCUCCGUUAAAUCCGGCGAUUCAAUCGCUAGACUGCGGGGGAUACUACCAGGCUAGGGGGCGGGAGAGGUCGACGGUAGUCCUGGGGUAGGGGUGAAAUCCUAUAAUCCCGGGAGGACCACCAGUGGCGAAGGCGGUCGACUAGAACGCGCCCGACGGUGAUGGACGAAAGCUGGGGGAGCGAACCGGAUUAGAUACCCGGGUAGUCC
rnacentral:rRNA from 1 species